CGAUCGAGGCGAUUCUGGUGGCGUUGGAAAGCUUGUUCCGAGAGCUUUCUUUUGACACCAAUUUUGAAGCAAAUUGAGGUCGGAUGAGUGAGAUAUGGAGGAGAGAAGUUUCGGAUUUUUCAAGCUUUUUCGUCAGAUCUACGACGAUCCGACCGUUGGAUCGACGAUCCGAGACCACAUAUGGACUGAGGAAGAGGAGAGGAACAUGGUAGUAUGAUUAGAUCCGGCAAAUGUCGCCGGCGACAGGCGGCCGACCACCAUGCGCGGUGGUUCCGGCGGUGGCUCCGGUGGGCAAUGGAGAUGAUUCAACUUCCAGAGGCUUCCUCAUAAAUUUUUGGAAUUUUUGAGACACAGAUAAACUUCGGGCCACAGGAGGAGUUAUUUUACAGAGCAACCUGUUUUCUUCCUCGCAGGUUUAACGUCGAUUAUUUAAUUGUAUUAUUAUUCUCUAAAUUUGUAAUUUAGGACUCCGCAUGUGCUAGUAGUAGCAUUAAGCCUGUCAGGGACUGUAUGAAUUCAAGUUUUUGUAUUAAUAAAUGGAAAGAAAAAUUUUAUGAGUUUUAAA